UUUUCUUUAGGAAGGGUGUGGUUACAAGGGCAAAUGUCAAGCUAAGGGCAUUCUGAGCUCGGUUUACUGUCACCAAUGAAACAGAAUGUCUAAGAUUGAAAGAGCACUAGCACCAGAGAAACUAAAGAUUCCAACUACAGUUGAGUUUUGGGUGAUGGACCGACUAGAAAUUGUGCAGGUGGCUAGAAAUUGUGCAUGGUGGAGUACCAGGUUGAUUAAAACGGG
rnacentral:lncRNA from 1 species